UCGCGUCGCAAUUUGACUUGAGUUUUUAUGCGCAUUGGUACCGAUAUUUUCAAACCGGCCGCAAUUUCCCGGAAGUGGAUAGCAGCCUUCGAUUCUCGCUAAACCGCGCAAGUGCUCGAUCGUCGUUCAUUAUUCGAGCACCUGUGUGUGCAAUUAGAGGCCAAGCCGAGAACCGCGGAUUAAUUCUGUGUUUAUUUUCUCGACACUGCAGCGGAGGCCCCGGCGGUGCGGCACCACGGACUCGACGACCACGCCGACGCCGUCGGCACUGACGACAUGCGAAGAAAACGGUACGUGUACUCCACCCCGGUGGUGCAGCCCGCCAUCGUGCGGCCCGCCGUGUACGCCGUGCCCGCGGCAUACCCCGCCGCCUACCCCGCGGCCUACCCUGCUGGCGGCUACGGCGCGGUGGUGGCGCG